AAAAAGCAUGGGCGCGGUGGCUCAUGCCUGUAAUCCCAGCACUUUGGGAGGCUGAGGCGGGCAGAUCAUGAGGUCAGGAGAUCGAGACCAUCCUGGCUAACACGGUGAAUCCCCGUCUCUACUAAAAGUACAAAAAAAUUAGCCAGACGUAGUGGCAGGUGCCUGUCGUCCCCGCUACUUGGGAGGCUGAGGCAGAAGAAUGGCGCGAACCCAGGAGGUGGAGCUUGCAGUGAGCCGAGAUGCGCCACUGCACUCCAGCCUCAGCGACAGAGUGAGACUCCGUCUCAAAAAAAAAAAAAAAAAAGCUUGGGCCAGUGGCUCACACCUGUAAUCCCAGCACUUUGGGAGGCGGCAGGCAGGCGGAUCACCAGAGGCUGGGAGUUGGAGACCAGCCUGACCAACAUGGAGAAACCCCAAUCUGUACUAAAAAGCCUCUGAGGAAGAGUGGGGGAAAGAUGCCACAGAGAAAAGACUUUACUGCUGAAUUGUCCAUGGGGCCCACUGAGACUCAAAGCUAAGGUGGGAAGGUCUUCUAUCUGAUCAGGACCCAGGAGAGAAAGAUACUUUGCAGAUGUUUCCUGGGAGCCUUGGGAAAAAUGCCUCCCUCCCUCAACAAAGCAGGCGGGGCCUGCCCAGUUGCCCUGGCAGUAACCACAUUGUGAGGUGGUUCCAGUUAUAGGCAGAGGGGUCUGAGUGGGAAGAGACAGAGGUGGUGGGAGCAGUGGGCUCAGCCUUUACUUCGCCGCCCGAGGGCGGGGAGACCGGCCCCGUACCCGAGGGGACGAGGGGCCCAUGCCCAGUCAGGGAAGCCGAAGGCCUGGAGGGGCUUCCGGGAGCAGGGGCUGGAGUUCCUCUGCCAGGCAGGAGGCUGGCACCAGACACCCGGCAGAGGGAGGCGGCGAGGGCCCAGCAAGGAUUCUCCCCAGCCCCUGUGCCUGCGUCUCCUGCGGCUUCUGUGCGCGGACCGUGUCCUGUGCUGUGUAGGGAAUGCUGCCUCUCUGCUCGGGACGUGGAUUCCUUUCCCCUCCUCCUCGCCUGGCUACUUCUGACGCAGGUCGUCAGGACUCCGCUUGGGUGUCACCCGUGCAGGAAGCCUCCCUUAGUCAAGGGCCCUCGGCACCCGCCCCAUAUGUGACUAGCAGCCCUCCUGUGUAUUUCAUCGCGUCCCCGUUGUUUAUAUCAGCUAUUCCACUCACCACCCUUCUGGGCAACCCUUUAUCUCCCGCUCUGAAAUCCCAUCGCUGAGGGCUGGGACCCCUCCUCAGUGCUUAUCCCUGUUUCCCCGCGCGAGUCUGGCGCCUGGCGUGUGGAAGGCGCUCAGUAAACGUUUGUGGAGCGAAGAAACGACGCAAAGGUGAUGAGCACGACGCAGUUAGGAGGCUAUUGGCCCGGCGCGGGGGAAAAGGGGGAAGGUCGGGCUCGGGGUGGCAGGACCCCAGAGGGCAGGGGUGACUGCCGGGGUGCUCUUGGGGCAAGGUGGGCGUCAAGGCCCCCAGCAAGGUUGGGAUAAAGUUUCUCUCCGAGGCACAGACUGCCGCCUGCGGGCUCAGCAUUUACCUCUCCCUUCCUCCUUCCUAACGCAACUUCAGCGGAGGGCUGAGGGCUCUACUGCGCAUUACCUGGAAAACUUAUUUCACUCCACGGCCCUAAGAGGUGGGCCUUAUUAUUAGCCACGGCCAGGGUUAGGGUGAGGCCACUCCUCCAGGGCAGAAUUUC
rnacentral:lncRNA from 1 species